rnacentral:rRNA from 1 species
UUCGCCCUUAGAGUUUGAUCCUGGCUCAGGACGAACGCUGGCGGCGUGCUUAACACAUGCAAGUCGAACGAUGAAGUUAUGACGGAGGCUUCGGCCGACUGAAUGAUGGAUUAGUGGCGGACGGGUGAGUAACGCGUGAGUAACCUGCCUUUCAGAGAGGAAUAACAUUUGGAAACGAAUGGUAAUACCACAUAACAUUACGUUCUCGCAUGGGGAUGUAAUCAAAGAUUUUAUCGCUGAGAGAUGGACUCGCGUCCGAUUAGCUAGAUGGUGAGGUAACGGCCCACCAUGGCGACGAUCGGUAGCCGGACUGAGAGGUUGAACGGCCACAUUGGGACUGAGACACGGCCCAGACUCCUACGGGAGGCAGCAGCGGGGAAUAUUGCACAAUGGGGGAAACCCUGAUGCAGCAACGCCGCGUAAAGGAAGACGGUCUUCGGAUUGUAAACUUUUGUUCUUGGUGAAGAAGCAAGUGACGGUAGCCAAGGAGGAAGCCCCGGCUAACUACGUGCCAGCAGCCGCGGUAAUACGUAGGGGGCGAGCGUUGUCCGGAAUGACUGGGCGUAAAGGGCGCGUAGGCGGCUCGGUAAGUUAGAAGUGAAAGUCCUGUUUUCAAGGUGGGAAUUGCUUUUAAUACUGUCGGGCUUGAGUGCAGAAGAGGUAAGCGGAAUUCCAAGUGUAGCGGUGAAAUGCGUAGAGAUUUGGAAGAACACCAGUGGCGAAGGCGGCUUACUGGGCUGUAACUGACGCUGAGGCGCGAAAGCGUGGGGAGCGAACGGGAUUAGAUACCCUGGUAGUCCACGCGGUAAACGAUGAAUGCUAGGUGUAGGGGGUAUCGACCCCUCCUGUGCCGGAGUAAACGCAAUAAGCAUUCCGCCUGGGGAGUACGGCCGCAAGGUUGAAACUCAAAGGAAUUGACGGGGGCCCGCACAAGCAGCGGAGCAUGUGGUUUAAUUCGACGCAACGCGAAGAACCUUACCAGGUCUUGACAUCGAUGUAAAGCCCAAGAGAUUGGGUGUCUCUUCGGAGGACAGAAGACAGGUGGUGCAUGGUUGUCGUCAGCUCGUGUCGUGAGAUGUUGGGUUAAGUCCCGCAACGAGCGCAACCCUUAUUAUCAGUUACUAACGGGUGAAGCCGAGGACUCUGAUAAGACCGCCGGGGACAACUCGGAGGAAGGUGGGGACGACGUCAAAUCAUCAUGCCCCUUAUGACCUGGGCUACACACGUGCUACAAUGGUGAAAACAAAGAGAAGCGAAGUCGUAAGGCGGAGCGGAUCUCAAAAAAAUCAUCUCAGUUCGGACUGUGGGCUGCAACCCGCCCACACGAAGUUGGAGUUGCUAGUAAUCGCGGAUCAGAACGCCGCGGUGAAUACGUUCCCGGGCCUUGCACUCACCGCCCGUCA